rnacentral:tRNA from 2 species
GCGCCCAUAGCUCAGUCGGUAGAGCAAAUGACUCUUAAUCAUUGGGUCCAAGGUUCAAGUCCUUGUGGGCGCACCA